rnacentral:rRNA from 1 species
AUUGAACGCUGGCGGCAGGCCUAACACAUGUAGGUCGAGCGGAUGAAGGGAGCUUGCUCCUGGAUUCAGCGGCGGACGGGUGAGUAAUGCCUAGGAAUCUGCCUGGUAGUGGGGGAUAACGUCCGGAAACGGGCGCUAAUACCGCAUACGUCCUGAGGGAGAAAGUGGGGGAUCUUCGGACCUCACGCUAUCAGAUGAGCCUAGGUCGGAUUAGCUAGUUGGUGGGGUAAAGGCCUACCAAGGCGACGAUCCGUAACUGGUCUGAGAGGAUGAUCAGUCACACUGGAACUGAGACACGGUCCAGACUCCUACGGGAGGCAGCAGUGGGGAAUAUUGGACAAUGGGCGAAAGCCUGAUCCAGCCAUGCCGCGUGUGUGAAGAAGGUCUUCGGAUUGUAAAGCACUUUAAGUUGGGAGGAAGGGCAGUAAGUUAAUACCUUGCUGUUUUGACGUUACCAACAGAAUAAGCACCGGCUAACUUCGUG